UUAAGCGACUAAGCGUACACGGUGGAUGCCCUGGCAGUCAGAGGCGAUGAAGGACGUGCUAAUCUGCGAUAAGCGUCGGUAAGGUGAUAUGAACCGUUAUAACCGGCGAUUUCCGAAUGGGGAAACCCAGUGUGAUUCGUCACACUAUCAUUAACUGAAUCCAUAGGUUAAUGAGGCGAACCGGGGGAACUGAAACAUCUAAGUACCCCGAGGAAAAGAAAUCAACCGAGAUUCCCCCAGUAGCGGCGAGCGAACGGGGAGCAGCCCAGAGCCUGAAUCAGUGUGUGUGUUAGUGGAAGCGUCUGGAAAGGCGCGCGAUACAGGGUGACAGCCCCGUACACAAAAAUGCACAUGCUGUGAGCUCGAUGAGUAGGGCGGGACACGUGGUAUCCUGUCUGAAUAUGGGGGGACCAUCCUCCAAGGCUAAAUACUCCUGACUGACCGAUAGUGAACCAGUACCGUGAGGGAAAGGCGAAAAGAACCCCGGCGAGGGGAGUGAAAAAGAACCUGAAACCGUGUACGUACAAGCAGUGGGAGCACGCUUAGGCGUGUGACUGCGUACCUUUUGUAUAAUGGGUCAGCGACUUAUAUUCUGUAGCAAGGUUAACCGAAUAGGGGAGCCGAAGGGAAACCGAGUCUUAACUGGGCGUUAAGUUGCAGGGUAUAGACCCGAAACCCGGUGAUCUAGCCAUGGGCAGGUUGAAGGUUGGGUAACACUAACUGGAGGACCGAACCGACUAAUGUUGAAAAAUUAGCGGAUGACUUGUGGCUGGGGGUGAAAGGCCAAUCAAACCGGGAGAUAGCUGGUUCUCCCCGAAAGCUAUUUAGGUAGCGCCUCGUGAAUUCAUCUCCGGGGGUAGAGCACUGUUUCGGCAAGGGGGUCAUCCCGACUUACCAACCCGAUGCAAACUGCGAAUACCGGAGAAUGUUAUCACGGGAGACACACGGCGGGUGCUAACGUCCGUCGUGAAGAGGGAAACAACCCAGACCGCCAGCUAAGGUCCCAAAGUCAUGGUUAAGUGGGAAACGAUGUGGGAAGGCCCAGACAGCCAGGAUGUUGGCUUAGAAGCAGCCAUCAUUUAAAGAAAGCGUAAUAGCUCACUGGUCGAGUCGGCCUGCGCGGAAGAUGUAACGGGGCUAAACCAUGCACCGAAGCUGCGGCAGCGACGCUUAUGCGUUGUUGGGUAGGGGAGCGUUCUGUAAGCCUGUGAAGGUGUGCUGUGAGGCAUGCUGGAGGUAUCAGAAGUGCGAAUGCUGACAUAAGUAACGAUAAAGCGGGUGAAAAGCCCGCUCGCCGGAAGACCAAGGGUUCCUGUCCAACGUUAAUCGGGGCAGGGUGAGUCGACCCCUAAGGCGAGGCCGAAAGGCGUAGUCGAUGGGAAACAGGUUAAUAUUCCUGUACUUGGUGUUACUGCGAAGGGGGGACGGAGAAGGCUAUGUUGGCCGGGCGACGGUUGUCCCGGUUUAAGCGUGUAGGCUGGUUUUCCAGGCAAAUCCGGAAAAUCAAGGCUGAGGCGUGAUGACGAGGCACUACGGUGCUGAAGCAACAAAUGCCCUGCUUCCAGGAAAAGCCUCUAAGCAUCAGGUAACAUCAAAUCGUACCCCAAACCGACACAGGUGGUCAGGUAGAGAAUACCAAGGCGCUUGAGAGAACUCGGGUGAAGGAACUAGGCAAAAUGGUGCCGUAACUUCGGGAGAAGGCACGCUGAUAUGUAGGUGAAGUCCCUCGCGGAUGGAGCUGAAAUCAGUCGAAGAUACCAGCUGGCUGCAACUGUUUAUUAAAAACACAGCACUGUGCAAACACGAAAGUGGACGUAUACGGUGUGACGCCUGCCCGGUGCCGGAAGGUUAAUUGAUGGGGUCAGCGCAAGCGAAGCUCUUGAUCGAAGCCCCGGUAAACGGCGGCCGUAACUAUAACGGUCCUAAGGUAGCGAAAUUCCUUGUCGGGUAAGUUCCGACCUGCACGAAUGGCGUAAUGAUGGCCAGGCUGUCUCCACCCGAGACUCAGUGAAAUUGAACUCGCUGUGAAGAUGCAGUGUACCCGCGGCAAGACGGAAAGACCCCGUGAACCUUUACUAUAGCUUGACACUGAACAUUGAGCCUUGAUGUGUAGGAUAGGUGGGAGGCUUUGAAGUGUGGACGCCAGUCUGCAUGGAGCCGACCUUGAAAUACCACCCUUUAAUGUUUGAUGUUCUAACGUUGACCCGUAAUCCGGGUUGCGGACAGUGUCUGGUGGGUAGUUUGACUGGGGCGGUCUCCUCCUAAAGAGUAACGGAGGAGCACGAAGGUUGGCUAAUCCUGGUCGGACAUCAGGAGGUUAGUGCAAUGGCAUAAGCCAGCUUGACUGCGAGCGUGACGGCGCGAGCAGGUGCGAAAGCAGGUCAUAGUGAUCCGGUGGUUCUGAAUGGAAGGGCCAUCGCUCAACGGAUAAAAGGUACUCCGGGGAUAACAGGCUGAUACCGCCCAAGAGUUCAUAUCGACGGCGGUGUUUGGCACCUCGAUGUCGGCUCAUCACAUCCUGGGGCUGAAGUAGGUCCCAAGGGUAUGGCUGUUCGCCAUUUAAAGUGGUACGCGAGCUGGGUUUAGAACGUCGUGAGACAGUUCGGUCCCUAUCUGCCGUGGGCGCUGGAGAACUGAGGGGGGCUGCUCCUAGUACGAGAGGACCGGAGUGGACGCAUCACUGGUGUUCGGGUUGUCAUGCCAAUGGCACUGCCCGGUAGCUAAAUGCGGAAGAGAUAAGUGCUGAAAGCAUCUAAGCACGAAACUUGCCCCGAGAUGAGUUCUCCCUGACUCCUUGAGAGUCCUGAAGGAACGUUGAAGACGACGACGUUGAUAGGCCGGGUGUGUAAGCGCAGCGAUGCGUUGAGCUAACCGGUACUAAUGAACCGUGAGGCUUAACCU
rnacentral:rRNA from 1 species